rnacentral:rRNA from 1 species
GAUGAACGCUGGCGGCGUGCCUAAUACAUGCAAGUCGAGCGAACAGACGAGGAGCUUGCUCCUCUGACGUUAGCGGCGGACGGGUGAGUAACACGUGGAUAACCUACCUAUAAGACUGGGAUAACUUCGGGAAACCGGAGCUAAUACCGGAUAAUAUAUUGAACCGCAUGGUUCAAUAGUGAAAGACGGUUUUGCUGUCACUUAUAGAUGGAUCCGCGCCGCAUUAGCUAGUUGGUAAGGUAACGGCUUACCAAGGCAACGAUGCGUAGCCGACCUGAGAGGGUGAUCGGCCACACUGGAACUGAGACAGGGUCCAGACUCCUACGGGAGGCAGCAGUAGGGAAUCUUCCGCAAUGGGCGAAAGCCUGACGGAGCAACGCCGCGUGAGUGAUGAAGGUCUUCGGAUCGUAAAACUCUGUUAUUAGGGAGGAACAAAUGUGUAAGUAACUAUGCACGUCUUGACGGUACCUAAUCAGAAAGCCACGGCUAACUACGUG